rnacentral:sRNA from 1 species
GUUUGCACUUAUCGGGGAAGGGUGAGAACCUUCGAUUAAGGUUCGACUCGAGCGAAAGCGAGAGAACGUUGCCAACGGCAACGGCCC